rnacentral:tRNA from 1 species
GGAGGGAUGACCGAGUGGACGAUGGUGACGGUCUUGAAAACCGUUGUGGCUCUCAAGCCACCGAGGGUUCGAAUCCCUCUCCCUCCGCCA